GCCAGGCAUGGUGGCAGAUACCUGUAAUCUUAGCUAUUCAGGCAGCUGAGGCAGGAGAAUUGCUUGAACCCGGGAGGCGGAGGUUGCAGUGAGCCAAGAUCAAGCCACUGUACUCCAGUCUGGGCAAUAGAGUGAGACUCCAUCUCAAAAAAAAAAAAAAGGCCAGAUGCGGUGGCUCAUGCCUGUAAUCUCAGCACUUUGGGAGGCC
rnacentral:lncRNA from 1 species